rnacentral:rRNA from 1 species
CUACGGGUUGCUGCAGUGGGGAAUAUUGCACAAUGGGCGCAAGCCUGAUGCAGCGACGCCGCGUGAGCGAAGAAGGUUCUCGGAUCGUAAAGCUCUGUCCUUUGGGAAGAAAAAAUGACGGUACCAAAGGAGGAAGCCCCGGCUAACUACGUGCCAGCAGCCGCGGUAAUACGUAGGGGGCGAGCGUUGUCCGGAAUCACUGGGCGUAAAGGGUGAGUAGGCGGUAACGUGUGUCAGAUGUGAAAGGCGAGGGCUCAACCCUCGUAAGCAUUUGAAACUGCGUAACUUGAGUGCAGGAGAGGUAAGCGGAAUUCCUAGUGUAGCGGUGAAAUGCGUAGAUAUUAGGAGGAACACCAGUGGCGAAGGCGGCUUACUGGACUGUAACUGACGCUGAGACACGAAAGCGUGGGGAGCGAACAGGAUUAGAUACCCCCGUAGUC